GCUCGUGACGUCAUUUCGGCGCGACCCUCUUCUUGGCGUAGAGUUUUUAGGUUGCUCCUGGAAACCAUGCCGAAAGUAGUGUCUCGGUCAGUAGUCUGCUCUGACACUCGGGACCGGGAGGAAUAUGACGACGGUGAGAAGCCCCUCCAUGUGUACUACUGUUUGUGCGGCCAGGUGGUCCUAGUGCUGGACUGUCAGUUAGAGAAAUUGCCCAUGAGGCCCCGGGACCGGUCCCGUGUAAUUGAUGCCGCCAAACAUGCCCAUAAGUUUUGUAACACAGAAGACGAAGAGACUAUGUAUCUGCGGAGAUCUGAAGGCAUUGAACUACAGUACAGAAAGAAAUGUGCAAAGUGUGGACUGCUGCUCUUCUACCAAUCCCAGCCGAAGAAUGCUCCCGUUACCUUCAUUGUGGAUGGAGCAGUAGUCAAGUUUGGCCAGGGCUUUGGGAAAACGAACAUAUAUACUCAGAAACAAGAGCCUCCUAAAAAGGUGAUGAUGACCAAACGGACCAAAGACAUGGGCAAGUUCAGUUCUGUCACUGUGUCUACCAUUGAUGAGGAGGAAGAGGAGAUUGAGGCUAGGGAAGUUGCUGACUCGUAUGCACAGAACGCCAAAGUGAUUGAAAAACAGCUGGAGCGCAAAGGCAUGAGCAAGAGGCGACUGCAAGAGCUGGCUGAAUGGGAAGCCAAGAAAGUGAAAAUGAAGGGGACCUUGAUUGACAACCAGUUUAAAUAACCAGGCUUUUUUCUGAGCCCUAGACUGGAGGCAAGCAUGUAGAUCAGGAGACAAAGUAAUUUCUUGACCACAUAGACUGGUUCCUAUUUAUGUCCUAGCAGAAGGCUUUAUGUUGUUUCCCACUGAUUCUCCUACAUGCAGUGAGGUCUUUAACUGAGUCCAUUUGACCUGCUUUCUAGGAGAUGGAUUUUUCUCUAAUUUUUUCUGUAUUUAGGUUUUCUUUACUAUUUUUUGUCCAUUUGAUGCAAACUUCUUCAGCUAUGUAGAAACUUUAUGAAUAGAUCAGUGCUUGAGAGUCUCCGGUCUCUAAAGUGGCUGGUUUUAUUCUUUCUUCAAAGUUAAUAACAUGUUUCAAGAUUUUUGGACAAAAUAUUAUGGUGUGUCAUAGAGAAAAGCAGCGUGAAUUAUAUUUAGGUAUAGCAAGUCAGAUCCUUUGAAGUGAGUCUGUCUCUGUUCUUAGAAGGGUUCUUGGAAUUGGCUGUGGUUUGAAUCUUUCUACUGUCAGAGGAGACCCAUUAAAAGCCAGAAUCUGCAUAAAGCUUUCUUUACUUAACACACUGAAGCUAUAGGUGAGCCAUCCCAUGUCAGACUUUAUAUUCAAAGAAGGAAAAGCCAAAUUGCAGUGAGGGGGUAGGACAGAUUCCAAUGAAAAUGGGGUCUGAAUAAGUAACCCAAGAGAGCUGCCCUCUAGUAGGGCAGCUAGUAUUGCUUCCUUGCAUGGAUACAUGGGAGGGAGACAUAUAGAUUAAUAAAUGAUAGUGAGAUAAACAAAA